rnacentral:lncRNA from 1 species
CGCAGCCUGCGGGAGCAGCGCGCAGACCAGCGCGGGCCGGGCCGCCGAGCCCCGCGGAGGGCGCUCACCUCAGAGGCGCGGCCCGGCGGGUCCGUCCCGCCCGUCCGUCAGUCAGUCAGUCAGCGGCGGGGCAGCGGCGCAUCCCGCCCGCGGCGGCCGAGGAGGGGAGCAGUCGCGCGAGGGAGCGAACAGGCCGAGAAGGCGAGACGGGAGAGAAGCGCGCCAGCCCGAACUCAGUCUCCACUCUGCUUCCGGGGCCUUCUACCGCCGCCGCUGGCCAGAGAGUCGCCGCCGGGGCCGCUGCUGUCGCCACCGAUGCAGCCAGGAAUGAAUGCACAGCGGCGCCUCAGUUAUCCGGAGGUCAAACAUCCUUCGGCCUCGAGCAUCCGGAUCGGCGCUGGACCCGGAAGUGAACACAUGGAAAAAAAUUAAAAAGGAAAGCGUCGCUCUAGCGGCAGCUGCGGCGGUGGCCCCAGCGCUGCCCGAGUCCACGAAAAGAGCCGAGCAGAGCCGAAGAUUACACUAACCUGCUUGGAUUGGUUGGAUCGCCAAUAGGAAGGGAGGCAGCGCGCUAGCUGGCUGGCACGGCCUAUAAAAGCUAAGCCACGCCUCGUCCCCGCCUUCCCUCGAGCGGCUCUUGAGGUGUAAAUGCAAGUAUGUUUCUCUGGGUGAGUCUGUGAGUCUACGGAGAGAGCUGGAAGACAACGUUUCGGUGUGUUAAAAGAGCUACUAAAAAUUCACACCCUGCCUUGGAGCAGCUGCCUAUAGACUGAAACUUCUGCAAACUAACCAUACUGUUUGGAUUCUCCAACAACCAGACUUCUCUGGUGUCUCCUGUCUCAGUCCUGUGGAGACAAACAGGAUUACCCAACCAACCUUCGGGGUCUCUUCUAGCUCUGCCUGCCUACCUCUAUGUCUCAAUGGAAAGGAGGAGACUCAGACCCAACAAAGAAGCCUGCCUCCUCAGUUCACUUAUUUCCAGGGGAGGUCCCAGUAACCCACUUCCAGAAUAUGUCAAGCUCACUGAUAUUGUCCAGAGGACUCUAGUGUGAUCCAGGGAAAAGAUUAAACCUGCUUGAC